CAAAGCAAGCGGCGUUGAGACCUAGAGUUUGCUGUUUUCAGUUCCAUCGGUGCAGAAACAAUGAGUAUUUUCUUGCUCUCAGUCCUUUUAGCCUUAUCACCAAGUGUCUUUACUGCUCGAGUGGACCAAACACCGAAAUCAAUAACAAAGGAGACGGGCGAAUCACUGACCAUCAACUGUGUCCUAAGAGAUACUAGCUAUGAAUUGUGCAACACGUACUGGUAUCGAAAAAAAUUGGGCGCAACAAACGAGGAGAGCAUAUCGAGAGGUGGACGAUAUGUUGAAACUGUUAACAAAGGAUCAAAGUCCUUUUCUUUGAGAAUUAAUGGUCUAACAGUUCAAGACAGUGGCACGUAUCGAUGCAGAGCAUACACAGUAAUGAGCUUGCUCUUUCAUCAUUACAGAAUACCCAGGAGGCACGUUAUAAAUGAUUGGUACCAAUACUCAGCAGAAAAAGUCUGGGCAAGAGGAGUACAGCCUUCUCCACCAAUAGUCAGUCUCCUAUUCUCUGCAACGGAAGAACAGAGAGCAAACCGAUUUGUGCAGCUGGUUUGUCUAAUGACCGGAUACUAUCCUGAAAAUGUUGCGGUGAGCUGGCAGAAGAACACGAAUGACAUAAGAUCAGGUUUUACAACUACACCCGCAAUGAAAACAUCGAACAAUGCCUUCAGCCGUACAAGUUUACUUCAAGUGCCCCUACAGGAAUGGAGCAGCGGUUCUGUGUACAGUUGCCAAGUUUCUCAUUCUGCAACCAAAAGUGUACAGACAAAAGAAAUUAGACAAACAUCGGAGAUCGCUGUAUUACUAAGGGAUCCAACAGUUGAAGAAAUUUGGAUGAAUAAAAGCGCCACUCUAGUUUGCGAAGUGCUCUCUCCAGUUUCUGCUGGAGCAGUCGUCUCUUGGAUGGUAAAUGGAAAAGUAAGGAAUGAAGGCGUUCACAUGGAAGCAGCUACAAUGAGUGGAAAUCAAUAUCUGACCGUCAGCCGUUUGACCAGCAGCGUGGAAGAGUGGCAGAGUGGGGUGGAAUACACUUGCUCCGCAAAACAGGAUCAGUCAUCCACCCCAGUCGUAAAACGAACAGGAAAGGCAAGAGUCGAACCAAAACAACCAUAUCUCCGCCUCCUGCCCCCGUCACCAGAAGAGAUUCAAAGCACCAGCUCUGCCACUCUCACAUGUUUGAUAAGAGGUUUCUCUCCUGACAAAGUACGCAUUUACUGGGAAAAAGAUGGUGUUUCUGUGAGCGCGAACAUCACCGAUUUCCCCACUGCUCUGGAACAGGACCUGACCUUCAGCACACGGAGCCUCCUCAAUUUAUCUGCAAUGGAAUGGAAGAGCGGAGCAAAAUACACCUGUGCUGCCUCACAUCCACCUUCACAAUCCACUGUGAAGAGUGUCAUCAGGAACCCGAAAGAUGAUUGCCGUCACACAGACAUUUCUGUCAGUCUACUGAAGCCUCCGUUUGAAGAGAUUUGGACACAACGGACAGCGACCAUUGUUUGUGAAAUCGUUUACAGCGACUUAGAAAACAUCAAAGUUUUCUGGCAAGUGAAUGGGGCUGAGAGAAAGAAAGGAGUCGAGACACAGAAUCCCGAGUGGAGUGGAACUAAAUCCACCAUUGUGAGCAAACUCAAAGUCACGGCUUCGGAGUGGGACAGUGGCACCGAAUAUGUUUGCCUGGUAGAAGACAGUGAAUUACCAACACCAGUGAAGGCCUCUAUCAGGAAGGUAGACGUCAGCCAAAUGCAUCCUCCCAAGGUUUAUCUCCUGCAUCCAUCGGCGGACGAGAUUGACACUGAGAAUUCAGCUACCCUGUUGUGUCUAGCCUCCAACUUUUACCCAGCUGAGAUUUACAUUGGUUGGAUGGCAAAUGACACACUUUUGGAUUCUGGGUACCGCACCCAAGUAGACAGCGAGAAGGGAAAUGGUUCCAGCUUCGUUACCAGCAGAUUGAGACUCACAGCGGCGGAAUGGAACAGUGACACCACUUACUCCUGCUUAGUGGGACACCCGUCCCUAAACCGGGAUUUAAUCAGAAGUACAAAUAAAUCCCACGACACCUCUGAAAUAAUGGAAAGCCCAGAAGACUAUGGCACAGAAGAAGAUGAACCAGAAAAUUUUAAUCAAGAUGCCAACAGUUCAUUAUCCAUCAUGACUUUCGUGAUCUUGUUUAUUCUCAGUAUGCUGUACAGCACAUUUGUAACUGUGCUUAAGGUGAACUGACCACUACUAUUGAAGACAAAUACAUUUGGGUUCAUGGAAAUUUUAUGACUGAAACCUCAUUAGAUACUGAUCGCAAAUGGAACUGAAUUUACUUUUCCUCUCAACUGUAUCAACGGUUCCAUGGCUUUACUUCAGCAUGUGUUCCCAUGUCGUCUCAACUUUGGAAUGAGAACUACUUGCAUGUUUUCGGUCAUAAGGGUUUGCCUUUGCUCUCUUCUAUUUAGCUGUUAGUUUUCAAGAAAUCCCACGUAACUGCAACAGACUGAGGAAAUUACACUUCCACAAUUAAAUAAGCUGAAGGUAAAUCUUGGAAAUUUGCCACGUAGCAGAAUUAUAUUUUGAAAAAGUGGAGAUGUAUCUUAUGUAACUGACCUGUUAGAGAUGUGUGCAAUAUAACUGUGAAACUAGCAAUCAGAUCAACUUUCCGAAUAGAUCCAGUAGACAGGCUGUCAAACAUAUGAUUUUUGGGCAGAUAAAAGCCCAUUGAUUCCACAAGAGGGCUCAUUCGCUCCGACAGGAAAAAAAAAUACAUCAUCUAAAAAUUGCGUAGAAAAGUUUGGAAAUAUACCUACAAUUAUGAAGUUUCUUAUCACCGCUGUUGUUAUUCACAACCUGACUGUGCAAGCCGAAGUUUUCCCCUGUUGCAUUUUUAUUUGCUCAGUACUGAGGCUCUCAGUGUGCAACGUGAGUUAUAAUUUCUUUUGCUAGAACCAGCAGAGGAAAUUUUUGAGAAUAUCUUCAGUUUGUCGCUGUAUACAGAGCCCAGACAGCACUUAAUAGAAGGUCAUGUAUUACACCCAAUUUUAUUCCAUCGUGGCACAGUCUCAGGAUUUGACACUCGCGUAGAAAUCUUAUUGAUACCACAUACUGGACUGCGCAACACUUAUAUGCAGAAAAAUGUUCCAAAUAAGGAUCGUUGUUUUCAACCAUGCUUAUGAAUUCCCGUUAAAUAUGUUGUCAGACAAUAGUUGCUCCAAAUCAAUUGCUGCAAGGGAUAGUUUCCAACAUAUUAUGAAAUGAUUCGCUGUCUCUCUCUCCCAAAAAAAGACAAAGCAAAGGCAAACCUACAACAGACGCUGUGUAACAUCGCAGUUGACAUUGAAAUAGCAGAUUUCGCUGCUGUGUAUUGAACUGCAAAUCUUCCAAGUUCUAUGAAAGUGACUAGUUGUUAUAUAAGAGAAUAAAUCUUGUUUUGAAUCAGUCAAGGAUUCAUUCCUGACAAGAACAGGUUAUUCAACCGCUUAUGCCAAUUUUGUCAUUUGUAAAGCUUCUGUUUGUUGACUACCGUCACUCUGCUCCUCAAUGUAUUUCCGAGCAUUUGAAUUAACUUCAUUAAAAAGCCUAUAAUUCCUGUAAUUUACAAAAAAAGAAAGAAAUGUCAAUAACUUUGGAAACUUGCGAUAAUUUCCACAAACUUUGGAAAUAUAAUGCUGCCAUGUAUAGAUUUAACUAUGUCUUUGCCUUCAAUGUUGCUGUUGUAUUUUAUUUCGUUAUUACCAUCAUAUUCGGUCAACGCCGAGGUGUGAAAUGUAACUGUUAAUAUCUCCUUCAUGUUGUCAUUCAGUCAAGUUUUGCUGAAUUCCUAGCCUUAAAUCAAGCACGUGUUUUCAGAAUGCAAUUUAU